AAGGAGUCUAUUUUUCUAUGACAGGAUUCCUGAAUGAGGAAAAUGUCAUUAACUACGUUCUUCUCUUGGCUUCUGUCAUCUGAAUUCUCUCAUGUGUGAAGAACACACACUCAAUGGGAUAUAGUUAAUCAAAAUGGAAUAGUUGCAAAAGGCUUCAAAAAGUAAACUUUCUGCCUGAUAUUCUCUCUCCAAAAGAAAUGAUCUUCUAGACUUCUGAAGCAUUAGGACUUUUACAUGAGCACAGAUUCUGGUGACAAAUUACACUGCAAUUCUCCUGCACAACAUUUUCUGUUCCACUCUGUUCCUCAGAGGUUUCCAUUACUGUAUUCAUCUCACUGUUUUUCCAAUACCUACUUGCAAACCAGGAAUGGAGGCCAAGGCACAUGUCAGAUUCUCAGUGAUGAAACUGAAAUGUGCUCUAUACCACCCACAGCCCGUGUUGGAAGACUGACUAAGAGGCAUGCUGCCAAUUUCAGCAGACAGGUAUGGAAUGACUUAAUUUAUACUUGGAAAUGAGAAACAAUAUGGAGGAAAAAAUUGCUUUGAGGAAUCAUCCAAAUGGGGUAGUAAAAAUGAUUAUCAUGUGGUUGACAGAUCCCAAAC